rnacentral:snRNA from 1 species
AGCUUUGCACAGUGGCAGUAUCGUAGCCAGUGAAGUCUAUCCGAGCCAAGAUUAUUGCUAAUUGAAAGAUUG